GACAACGUGUCCGAGUGGUUAAGGAGAUAGACUUGAAUCAUACCGAUUGGAUAUCUAUUGGCUUCGGCCUCGCAGGUUCGAAUCCUGUCGUUGUCG
rfam:Fusarium graminearum chromosome 4, complete genome